rnacentral:lncRNA from 1 species
AUGAGGAGCUUGAUUUAUUUUCUGGCUCUCGUCAGCUCAGCUGGAGCCCUUGUGUGUCAGUCCUGCUCAGAUGCUCAGUGUUCAAACACAGCACCAGUGACUUGUUCCUCAGAGACCAUGUGUCUGGCAGCUUCUGCAGAAAUCAAUGAAGAGGGCAACAUUAGACAGCUGACCUACAAGGCAUGUGCAUCAUCCUCUCUGUGUCCAGCAACUGGCAGCCAGACAUUUUCAGUCAACUUGGCUUUAUCAAAAGCAGUUUUAGCUGUUGGUUGCUGUGACACUGACAACUGCAACUCUCUAACUCCGCCUAUCCCUGCUGCUCAGUCGCUCAACAGCCUGUCAUGUAAAUACCGCGACCCUUCCCUUCCUGCUACUGGCGUCACUCAGUGUAGGGGAAUAGAAGACAGAUGCUUUCAAGUGAAGGGGACGACUGGGUCCAGCGUAGAUCAAGCUUCCGGCUGUGCAUCCAACAACCUGUGUGCUGCUGCUGCCAGUCUGGCUGCUCUGCCAAUACUACAGAGUUUCCCUUAUUUGAGGAAUCAGAUAAGUUGUUGUCAGAGCAAUUUAUGUACUGACCUUACAACAACCACCACUACACCACCACCACCACCAAAAACCACUACUACACCACCACCACCACCACCAAGAACCACCACUAGACCACCAUCACACCACCACCAGCACCACCAAGAACCACCACUACACCACCACCAGCCCCACCAAGAACCACCACUAGACCACCACCACCACCAAAAAAAGCAUAACUAACAUCACAAAAAGCACCAAUAAACAUUUAAUGAAAGUUUAUUUACA